GGAAGUGGAAGCUCAGCGGUUAAGGUGUUGGACUACUGAUUAGAAGGUUGUGAGUUCAAAUCUCAGCACUGCUG